rnacentral:sRNA from 1 species
AUGUACCACCCACACACUGCGGUUCUGAGCGCGCCGUCCGCACCCACCUGACGGCUUGCUCGCUACGUUUUUGUUAGCC